rnacentral:hammerhead_ribozyme from 1 species
AUCCAGCUGACGAGUCUCGAAUAGGACGAAACGCGCGUCCUCGAU